UCCUUGCCUCUGGGAUGGUAGCUUGCUUC
rnacentral:piRNA from 1 species